rnacentral:snRNA from 1 species
GAGCUCAGUACAAGGCUUAUA